UACGAAGGGGGCGAGCGUUGUUCGGAUUUACUGGGCGUAAAGGGCGCGCAGGCGGCGGACCAAGUCAGGCGUGAAAGCCCCGGGCUUAACCUGGGAGGUGCGUCUGGGACUGGUCUGCUAGAGAUCGGGAGAGGAGAGUGGAAUUCCCAGUGUAGAGGUGAAAUUCGUAGAUAUUGGGAAGAGCACCAGUGGCGAAGGCGGCUCUCUGGACCGAUACUGACGCUGAGGCGCGAAAGCGUGGGGAGCAAACAGG
rnacentral:rRNA from 1 species